rnacentral:tRNA from 1 species
GAGUGUAUAGCUCAGUGGUAGAGUGCAUGCUUAGCAUGCAGGAGGUUCUGGGUUCAGUCCCCAGUACCUCCA